rnacentral:rRNA from 1 species
CCUACGGGGGGCUGCAGUAGGGAAUUUUCCACAAUGGGCGAAAGCCUGAUGGAGCAACGCCGCGUGGGUGAAGAAGGUCUUCGGAUCGUAAAACCCUGUUGUUAGAGAAGAAAGUGCGUGAGAGUAACUGUUCACGUUUCGACGGUAUCUAACCAGAAAGCCACGGCUAACUACGUGCCAGCAGCCGCGGUAAUACGUAGGUGGCAAGUGUUAUCCGGAUUUAUUGGGCGUAAAGGGAACGCAGGCGGUCUUUUAAGUCUGAUGUGAAAGCCUUCGGCUUAACCGGAGUAGUGCAUUGGAAACUGGGAGACGUGAGUGCAGAAGAGGAGAGUGGAACUCCAAGGGUAGCGGUGAAAUGCGUAGAUAUAUGGAAGAACACCAGUGGCGAAAGCGGCUCUCUGGUCUGUAACUGACGCUGAGGUUCGAAAGCGUGGGUAGCAAACAGGAUUAGAUACCCCAGUAGUC